UACGUAGGGUGCGAGCGUUGUCCGGAUUUAUUGGGCGUAAAGAGCUCGUAGGCGGCUUAGCAAGUCGGGUGUGAAAACUCCAGGCUCAACCUGGAGACGCCACUCGAGACUGCUAUGGCUAGAGUCCGGUAGGGGACCACGGAAUUCCUGGUGUAGCGGUGAAAUGCGCAGAUAUCAGGAGGAACACCGGUGGCGAAGGCGGUGGUCUGGGCCGGCACUGACGCUGAGGAGCGAAAGCGUGGGGAGCAAACAGG
rnacentral:rRNA from 1 species